UACGGAGGGGGCUAGCGUUGUUCGGAAUUACUGGGCGUAAAGCGCGCGUAGGCGGACCUGCAAGUCGGGGGUGAAAGCCCGAGGCUCAACCUCGGAACUGCCUUCGAUACUGCGGGUCUCGAGUCCGGGAGAGGUGAGUGGAAUUCCUAGUGUAGAGGUGAAAUGCGCAGAUAUCAGGAGGAACACCGAUGGCGAAGGCAGCUCGCUGGGACGGUACUGACGCUGAGGCGCGAAAGCGCGGGGAGCAAACAGG
rnacentral:rRNA from 1 species